CAAUAAGGUAACCAGAUAGCAGCUCCCUAACACAAGAUAACAGCUCCCUGGUAGAUCUAAGAACAGCACUCCAUAGUAAAAUCCAGAUCUCGCUGCAACUCCUUCAGUUACAUUGAGUAGGAGAAACGACAGCCUGUAAGAAAGCAGUUGCAUCCUAAAGAGCUGGCUCUUUUUGAAAGCACAUGACCAGGCAAAAUGACCUGCGAUGGCUGCCUACACACCAAUAUUACAACUAAAAAAAAAAUACACUUGUUGGUUCAGGAGUUAAAUGUUAUAUUGUAGAGUGAAUUAUUUGCAGUGUAAACAGUGUAAUUUAGAAAUAAAAACUACAUCAUAUAAAUCAUGACAGAAUCCUUUUUAAAUACAAGCUGUACCCAAGUAAAGGGAUGCUUUCAUAGAAAUUCCCCUGACGUUAUAUUUGGAACAGAGGUUUCAUAUCACACAUAAUAGCUUUUAUCUCUCCCUUUGUAUAGUUUUUAUAUGCUACUAUCAUGUUAAGGCCAUCCUUUGUUCUAGUUCCGCAAACCAGAGUUUGAUUUUUAUGGAGAAUGACGAUUGUGAUAAAGACUGUCUUUAAGAACAUAAAACUACUUGUGACAGCAAGGAAUUGAGUAAUCACAACUUCAGUAAACUGAAGCCUCAAAACACUUUCUGACCUUUAUGUAAAUUUUUUCAAAUCAGUCUGCUCUAUUACUCAUUUGUUUUCAGCCACAAAUCAAGCCUUUUUAGUUUUGAUGAUAGUGUCCCUUGAACCUGCUUUGUGCGUUAUGGGGUGCUAUUUAUAGUAGAUUUCUAUUGCAAAAAGGUAAAAAAAACUGAAAAUAGCUAUUUUUGUGUGGAAGAUGUGGAAGACUGUGAAAGAUAUGUUUGAAAGUUAGUUGCACUUGAAAGUGCUGUUUUCCAGAAAUUUACCAGUUGUGUAAAAUUUAUAAGGAAAAUGGUGGUCUUAAUUUUCCACACCUUCAUGUGGUGUAUAUGGCAUUGGUGUUCCUGUGCUAAAUAUUAAUGUAAAUCUAUUUACCUGAGCAGAAGCUACUAUUUCAUUCAGCAUGUUUUUUUUGCACAUUUAAACAAUGUGAAAACUUGGGAUACUGACAUUCUCCAUCUACAGACAUGUCUUAAUUGUAAGCAUUCAUUACUUUCUGGGAAAAUGUUUCCCCCACUUUGGUACAUUGAUAUGAGUGAAACAUUGUUGCUUUGCUCAAGUUUAAUGGCAGUAAAAAAGUUAAUAUUUGUAUAUAGGUUAUUAACCUAUAUAUGCACAAAGUACAUUCAGUAAGUGUACCUACAACCUGCCUAAAUAGGUGAGUUCUUUUUAAUGUGUUUGCAGACAUUUGUCAACUAAAAGCUUCUUUGCAUUUUAUCUUAAUAAAGCAUAAAUGUGCUGUUUAUUCACUUUGUGAUAUCAAAUAAAUCUGUUUUUUUUUUCUAUUUCUUUUUUAAAUAAUAAAUUAACUUAUGUCACAGGAUAAAAAGCCUCCCUUCAGAUGCUCUUGUAAAUGGAUCCUCUGGUCUUUGUCCGGUUAAAAAAAUAAAUAAAAUAUCCCUGCAAGGUGACAUUUUAUGCUUAUCCAAAAUUGCAUCAAACUGCACCACCAAGUCAGCUGUCUAUUCUACUUUAUAUUAGGGUCUUCUUUGCUUUUCCCUGGGAGAAAUGUUAGGCUUUUGGUUAUUUUGUCCCAUUGAUUGGGCUUUAGCCAGUGUCCUCUGUAUUGCCGUUCUAUAAAACAUUUGGUUGACCUUUCAUUAGUUUGUAAAAGACAUCAUGUUUUUCAUUCUAAAAGACCCAGAUGCAAACAUUUUUCAGUCCCUCCUAGGAUUUUUUUUCCUAGGAGGCUUAAUGGUGGGUGGUAGCAUGACAAAAAGCUGGUAUGGAAGAUGAAAAAAAUUAACUAGAUGAGAAACCAAAGAGGAAAAAAAAGUUACUUGUAGUUUAAUGUGCUAAAGGCCGGAGAUUUCCCACUGGGCUGUGGACAUCGUAGAAAUGGCAAGGUUCCUAAACCUUUAUAAAGAAAAGAAAAACCCCGCCAAGACACUCAGGAUCUGUAAAUCAUGCAUCGCAAACAAGGUAAAAGCAUUCCCUAAUACCACUCUCCACACGUUAAUGCAUCUACAGAAAUCAUCUGUGCAGUUUAAUCACUACUGAUGACAAUGUAAUGUACCCGUUGGCCGUGCUGUGGAUUUUACAGCCCUGUCAGUGCUGGGUAAACUGUGCAGGCCAUAAAUGGUAAGCUUUAAAUGUCCAUAUAAACUGAAAGCAGACUGUGUAAUAUUUCAUGGCCACAAAGCUUUAAAAGCCAGUCUAUAUAAAAUAGGUCAUUUGUAACCGUUUCCACUCUUAAUGUAAUUAUUAUAAAAAGAUUUCCAAGUUGCUUUAAUGCCUGCAAAUUAAGUCUGCAUUUUGCAAUAAAGCGAAGGGGAAAAAAUAUUCAGUUAUUGGCAAUGCUGUGCAACUUUUUAUAUGUUCCCUUCCCCCAUCUUUCACUAUCUUUUCCCUUGUUCUUGGGUGUGAUGAUGCUGGUUUGGAAGACUUUCAUGCUAAUCUCUUCGAUAUAUAUUACUUACACAUUGUUCUUGCUUCACAGGUGAUCUACGUGGAUCUUUUUGGAGCUUUUUAUUCGGAUGGGAGAUAUGGAACAUUAACCAUUACAUUCUACACGAAGAACAUUAACCAUUACAUUCUACACGAAAAACAAUGUCCUGCAUAGUGUGUGUAUAGUCUGGUUAGAUGAAGAGCUGCUUCUUGCCUGGUGCUAUGGGAGGAAACUACUUAAGAUGGAGAAUAGCUGUAGAACCCAAGUACAAGCCAUCAUUCUGAAGCCAUGCCCUUUGCUUUCUACAAAUAUUUCCAGAUUCCCUUUGCCUGUAUUUUAUCUUGAAACAGAGUGCACAGAGCUGACUGCUAAGAGCAGGUUUGCACAUACAUGGAGAACAACCAGAUGGUUUUUGAAGGAUGCUUUACAUUCAGCAUAGGGGAGAGCGGGACAUUGCUACAGGUUUUGUGACAUCACAGCAACACCACUCAGCAAUUGCUUGAACUGUCUUUUAGAGAGAGGUUUCCAACAAUAUGUAAUAUUUCUUUUAUUUUAUAAACCAUUUUUGUUUAAACAAAUAUAUUUAUUAAGCGUGGCCCAUACUGAACUGGUUAGAAAUGUACCAGCGUUUCUCAACCCAGCUCUCAAUGGAAAGGAUAAUCAUAAAUCAGUUCUGUGACUGGAGCUUGUGCACAAAUUGAAAAACUGGUGCUUGGAAAAAAAUCUUGUACGGAGAAGCAAGCUUUGGAGAAAUCUAUUUCCGGACAUCUGAGAAUGAAUCUUGUGUACAGACCAUGUAGCCGAAUGGCAACUUAGCCACAGCAAAUUAUGCUGCCUGGAUAAACAUGAACAAUAAUAGCCUGUACAAAGAUGUAGACAUGGACAUGAAGAAAUUGGUAAAUGUAGUAGUUUUAAACUCAAAAGAUUUUUGGGUUCUAUAAAGAGUCAUGCUGCAUAUUAAGAGAAUAUACAGGACAAUUAUGCAGUUUCUUUAAAAAAAAAAAAAAAAAAUAUAUAUAAUAUAUAUAUAUAUAUUUUUUUUUUUUCAAUGGAGGAGCCGGCACUCUCGUCAAACGGUUCAGCCUUGCCUGGGUGCAGUGUCCGAAAUUUUUGAAAUAUUCAUCCAACAAAGAAGGUCCGCACUCUCAGGACUUAAAUUAAAAAAAAAUGUUAAUACAAUCACCCCCAUGACCAAGAUUGCAAGCCUUCUCCCUUCGAUGUCCGGAUGACUACAUCUUUUGUCUACACUUAUAUGGACAUUAGAUCAAGUUUCGGUGACCCUUUACAUAUCACUAUCAUGACUUUGUUUUUUGUUUUUGAUUUUUCAUUUUUUAUAGAUCCCUAUAUAUAUUCUGUGAUGGUAUUUUUUGUGCACAUAAAUGGCCUGACUGGGUAUACAUUUUAGCCUUAUUUCUAGACGGGCUUGAUACACUUUAUAUGUAUAUUUUAUUAAUAUAUUUUAUUGAUCCAUUAUUACACAUAAUAGUAGAUAUUUUUGGACACUUGUAGGGUGAACACCACAUUUGAAAAAAUCCUUUUCUUUCUUUUAACAAAGCUUCCUUGCCUCAGAUAUGCACACUAGGUGGCUAGACUCUCUGGAUGCUUUGGGUCCGCACAGGUUAAUUUGGUGUAGCACUGACGGGUUAAUGGCUUAACUAAUUGGUAUUUUAUAUAAGGUAUUACCUUUUCUAGAUCCAGAUAAUGUAAAUUUGAUCUUUUCCAUGUACCGCUUCACCACACCUACUAUCUAAGUAUAAAUAGAUUGGUUCCUAAUACAGACCUUUGAACUUGACUCAUUUGUAGGUAUUUGUAACAUUAGUAACCAUUUGUGCUGUGAAUUUCAGAGAGUUACAAUGAAGACCAAUAAUCGUUACAAAAUACAUUAUUUUAGCUUAGUUUUAAUUGUGUGUGGUUCGCCCAAUAGGGGGUUUUAACAUUAUUGUUGAUAUUGCUGUAUUUAUUUUUGUAUUAAUUUUGUUAAGUAUUAAUACAAAUUUUUUAUGUAAUUUAACUAUUUGACGCAUAAUGAUGAUGAUGAUGAUGACGUUAGCCAAUUGAGUCCUUUUUUCCCGCCAUCAUAGGUAUAUAAUGCAUUCUUUGAUUGCCUAUUGUCACUUUGAGAAAAGCCUCGGAGAGGCCGAAACGUUAGUCGUUUAGUUAAUAAAAACAUUUUUUCAAUUUAA